rnacentral:rRNA from 1 species
GACGAACGCUGGCGGCGUGCUUAACACAUGCAAGUCGAACGGUGAAGCGCCUUCCUUUUUGGUGGGUGUGGAUGAGUGGCGAACGGGUGAGUAACACGUGAGUAACCUGCCCCCUUCUUCUGGAUAACCGCAUGAAAGUGUGGCUAAUACGGGAUAUUCUGGGUCUGUCGCAUGAUGGGUCUGGGAAAGAUGUUGUUUCGGUGGGGGAUGGGCUCGGGGCCGAUCAGCUUGUUGGUGGGGUGAUGGCCUACCAAGGCGGUGACGGGUAGCCGGCCGGAGAGGGUGACCGGCCAGACGGGGACUGCGAGAGGGCCCAGACUGGUGCGGUAGGCAGCAGUGGGGGAAAGUGCACAGCGGGGGCACGCCUGAGGGAGCGACGCCGUGUGGGGGGUGACGGCCUUCGGGUUGUAAACCUCUUUCGCCAGGGGGGUGGCGGAAGUGACGGUACCUGGAGAAGAAGCACCGGCCAACUACGUG